AUUGAACGCUGGCGGCAGGCUUAACACAUGCAAGUCGAGCGGGGGAAGGUAGCUUGCUACCGGACCUAGCGGCGGACGGGUGAGUAAUGCUUAGGAAUCUGCCUAUUAGUGGGGGACAACAUCUCGAAAGGGAUGCUAAUACCGCAUACGUCCUACGGGAGAAAGCAGGGGAUCUUCGGACCUUGCGCUAAUAGAUGAGCCUAAGUCGGAUUAGCUAGUUGGUGGGGUAAAGGCCUACCAAGGCGACGAUCUGUAGCGGGUCUGAGAGGAUGAUCCGCCACACUGGGACUGAGAUACGGCCCAGACUCCUACGGGAGGCAGCAGUGGGGAAUAUUGGACAAUGGGGGGAACCCUGAUCCAGCCAUGCCGCGUGUGUGAAGAGGGCCUUAUGGUUGUAAAGCACUUUAAGCGAGGAGGAGGCUACCCUAGUUAAUACCUAGGGAUAGUGGACGUUACUCGCAGAAUAAGCACCGGCUAACUCUGUGCCAGCCGCCGCGGUAA
rnacentral:rRNA from 1 species